rnacentral:rRNA from 1 species
UACAGAGGUCCCGAGCGUUGUUCGGAUUCACUGGGCGUAAAGGGCUCGUAGGCGGCCAACUAAGUCACACGUGAAAUCCCCAGGCUUAACCUGGGAACUGCGUGUGAUACUGGAUGGCUUGAAUUCGGGAGAGGGAUGCAGAAUUCCAGGUGUAGCGGUGAAAUGCGUAGAUAUCUGGAGGAAUACCGGUGGCGAAGGCGGCAUCCUGGACCGACAUUGACGCUGAGGAGCGAAAGCUAGGGGAGCAAACGGG